rnacentral:rRNA from 1 species
GUCUACGACCAUGCCAUUCUGAACAAGCCUGAUCCUGUCUGAUCUCAGAAGCUAAGCAGGGUCGAGUCUGUUUAGUACCUGGAUGGGAGACUACCUAGGAAGACCAGGUGCUAUAGGCA